UAAAUUGUUAGUAAAGUGUGUUAAAUUUCAAUUCUUUUUUAUGGAAUAAAUAAGUAAAUAAAGAACAUAAUAUAAUAAAGUAAUAAAAUUAGAUAGUGGAACAAAAACAUCAUUUUUGUUUUUCCAUUUUCAUUUCAUGCAGAGUCGAAAUAGAGGGGGAAGAAGAUAGAACUUUCAACAUUGGGGCUGAAAUUGUUACAAGCUUUAAUUGGUUAGUAGAUUUUAGUUCCUUUUACUUUAAUUUUAUGUUUUUGG
rnacentral:lncRNA from 1 species